GACAGAGGGGGCGAGCGUCGUCCGGUGUCACUGGACGUAAAACGCGCACCGGCGGCAACCUAAGUGUCGUGUGAAAGCACCCGGCUCAACCGGGGGAGGCCAUGGCAAACUGGGUCGCUCGAGCUGCGGAGAGGCCCCUCGAAUUGCCGGUGUAGCGGUGAAAUGCGUAGAGUUCGGCAGGAAGACCAAGGGGGAAGCCAGGGGGCUGGCCGCAGGCUGACGCUGAGGCGCGACAGCGUGGGGAGCAAACCGG
rnacentral:rRNA from 1 species